AUUGUGCAGAAAUGGAUAGACUUACAUUGAAUAUCAAACAGAAAGAAGAUACAGAAUAUUAUCAAACGUAGGACUUAUUUUACCAAUAUUGGGGAAAAGGGGUGGAGAGUAAGAAGGAAAUUUGAAUUGUUAAGCAAUUUAAUACCCAGUAAUACCAAUAAACUCAAUGUUAUUAAGCACUUAUUAAGCACUAAGAAAUGUAAUAAAUAGAAAAUUAAAAAAAUAAAUUUAAAAAUUAAUUAUUUCAUCAGUGAUGAGUAUGUUUUGCUCUUGUGAUGUCUUUAGCCUGAAACCUGAUCACAUUUUUUGUAUUACACUGUCCAUUUUUUGUCAAAACGUAGUCAGAAUCCUGCUGUAUCUCGCUCUAUGAUUUUCCCACCCUGGACUACUCACGAAAGGGUACAGUUGACUGGACAGAGCUGACAGACAUUGUCUUCAUCAGGGUACUUCCAAACAGUUCUAGAUUUUCCAGUCAAUCUCUUCUCCAAAUAAAUCAGAACCAAUUCUGUUUGGCUUUGUAAGGUUCUUGCUGUCAAAAGCAUAUUUUGAGGAGCUACAAGCCACGACCUCAUCUUUUGAGAAGUACAGACAGCUUAAACUUUUAGGCCUUCAAACAAAAUUGCUCAGUGAUUACAAUGGUACCAUGUUUUCAACCUUAUUCUCUGGUCCUAUGAGUUAAUAUCCUUAAAAAAAUAAAAGCUUUCUAAAGAUGCUGAAUUGUGAAAUAAGCUGCUAUUUCUGUAAACAACUCUGGAUGGUUAUUUAUCCUUUAAAAAGCUCACCUAGAAAACAAAAUAGGCCCUGGCUUUAAAAAAAUAGCAAAGCUUAAUUGCAGCUCUAAUUUACUGGGCUUGCUCAGAGGCUUCCCAAUGCAUAACCUGGGAUGCAUUACCCAGAACUACACAGAUGCAUCCCAGAAACUGAUACAGCCUUCUGACUCUAAGACUUGG